AGUGAACGCUGGCGGUAGGCCUAACACAUGCAAGUCGAACGGCAGCACAGUAAGAGCUUGCUCUUACGGGUGGCGAGUGGCGGACGGGGGAGGAAUACAUCGGAAUCUACUUUUUCGUGGGGGAUAACGUAGGGAAACUUACGCUAAUACCGCAUACGACCUACGGGUGAAAGCAGGGGAUCUUCGGACCUUGCGCGAUUGAAUGAGCCGAUGUCGGAUUAGCUAGUUGGCGGGGUAAAGGCCCACCAAGGCGACGAUCCGUAGCUGGUCUGAGAGGAUGAUCAGCCACACUGGAACUGAGACACGGUCCAGACUCCUACGGGAGGCAGCAGUGGGGAAUAUUGGACAAAGGGCGCAAGCCUGAUCCAGCCAUACCGCGUGGGUGAAGAAGGCCUUCGGGUUGUAAAGCCCUUUUGUUGGGAAAGAAAAGCAGCAGGUUAAUACCCCGCUGUUCUGACGGUACCCAAAGAAUAAGCACCGGCUAACUUCGUG
rnacentral:rRNA from 1 species